rnacentral:rRNA from 1 species
AACGAACGCUGGCGGCAUGCCUAACACAUGCAAGUCGAACGAGACCUUCGGGUCUAGUGGCGCACGGGUGCGUAACGCGUGGGAACCUGCCCUUAGGUUCGGAAUAACUCCCCGAAAGGGGUGCUAAUACCGGAUAAUGUCUUCGGACCAAAGAUUUAUCGCCUUUGGAUGGGCCCGCGUUGGAUUAGCUAGUUGGUAGGGUAAAAGCCUACCAAGGCGACGAUCCAUAGCUGGUCUGAGAGGAUGAUCAGCCACACUGGGACUGGGACACGGCCCAGACUCCAGCGAGAGGCAGCAGUGGGGAAUAUUGGACAGUGGGCGAAAGCCUGAUCCAGCAAUGCCGCGUGAGUGAUGAAGGCCUUAGGGUUGUAAAGCGCUUUUACCCGGGAUGAUAAUGACAGAACCGGGAGAAUAAGCCCCGGCUAACUCCGU